rnacentral:tRNA from 1 species
UAGGUUAAAGCCCGCUGGGUUGGGUGUUUAGUUGUUAAUUAAAAUUUUACGGGAUCGAGGCCCGUUAGCCUAG